rnacentral:rRNA from 1 species
UUUAUGAUGGCGACCGGCGCACGGGUGAGUAACGCGUAUCCAACCUACCCAUUACUAGGGAAUAACCCAGCGAAAGUUGGCCUAAUGCCCUAUGUAGUAGUUUGAUCGCCUGAGAUUUCGACGAAAGAUUUAUCGGUAUUGGAUGGGGAUGCGUCUGAUUAGCUUGUUGGCGGGGUAAAGGCCCACCAAGGCAACGAUCAGUAGGGGUUCUGAGAGGAAGGUCCCCCACAUUGGAACUGAGACACGGUCCAAACUCCUACGGGAGGCAGCAGGG